GAGUUGCUUAAUUGUUCUGCACGCCA
rnacentral:sRNA from 1 species